GAUGGUCCAUGUUUUCAAGGAUGGC
rnacentral:piRNA from 1 species